AGCGAAGGAGUUGCUUCGCUUGGCCGAAAGCGGCCAAUUUCCGCCCCAAGUAAUGGUUUAGGCCACUGUAACCACCGAUGGGCGCUCUGCAAUCAUUUUCAUUAAGCCUGGCGUCAAGGUAAAUGUGAAAUAUUAUCGGGAAAGUAUUCUGGGUUUGCUUUAAAGCUGUGGGAUGACCAACAUUUCGGUGGCAGACCAUGGACGUUUCAACAGGAUCAGAAUAUUUUAGGCAAUAUGCACGCUUGCUUGGAGCUCACUAACAAUCACCGUGAAAACAAUUAAGAAUGAGCAAGUAUUGAAUCAAAACAUUUAAAUAAAAUAAUACAACUUAAAAAAAAGGUCCUGGGGACGUUUAGAAAAACUUAAAUUCAGCUGGCUGCUAAUUAUUAUAAAUAAAAUAAACUCUUAAACAUGUGUACGGAGAGCCGAACAUUGAUAUACCUUUUUCGAUUACCUUAUUCUGUUACGUACAACCUCUCGCCAGUAUGUGAACCCUUGGGUGCAGAUAUAAAAUAUACUGGAAUUUUUGCCACAUGUAUAUUACUUGUGUUCUUGAAAAUGUUCGAAUCGGUCGUUCUCUAAAAUAAAACCAUGUAUUACUAAAUAUUAUUAUUAAAA